GAGGAGCUAGAGGAGGAGUGAGCGAGAAAGGAGAAGGGUUCGGGCGGGCGCUAGGGUAUUCUAAUUAAAUGCAGUGAGCUGUUCACUGCGUUUAAAAGUUGUAAACGGUUGCUGUAUUUAAAGGCGGUAAAUCAUUCAUUGCCUUUAAAUGCGGUGAAUAGUUAAUCGUCUUUAAACGUGGUAAACCAUUCACCGUCUUCAAGAUAAUACGGUAAACCAUUUACCGCAUUCUUAAUUUUUCAGACAGGUUUUCCACUCUUGCCAUAGGCCCACAAAUGCGGUGAAUGGUUCACCGCAUUCACUUAUGUGGUAAACCAUUCACCGCAUAGGAAAGUUUCUACACCCCUGUGCUGACCUGACCUAUUUGAGGCCUAAUUUUAUAAUAAAAUUUAAUGUAGGACUGUUUUUAUAUAAAGAGUUUUGAAUGAGAUUAUUUAUAAAAAAAUUCGUCUUCGUUGGUAGGUAUUCCACAAUCCACAUUGAAAAAAAGGAAAACUUCAAAUAGCAUUCUGUGAUUUAAAAUGUUUUAAUUUAGUGCCAUGUGGUUUCAUUUUUAUUUAUUAUUGAUUUCACUAUUUUUUUUUCGUUAAAUCAGUAACAAAAUUAAAACUAAAGGGUACUAAAAUAAAUAUUCGAUAAACCUAGAUGGGGUAUCUGAAGUUUUUUGUAUAUAAUUUAACGACAUAUUAUCGGAAAAACUCACGAAAAGAUAGAAAUAAAACCACAGGACACUAACUUGAUACACUUUAAACCACAUGGUACUAAAGUAAGAAAGUAUGAAACCACAAGAGUGGUAUCUGAAGUUUAUCCUUGAAAAAAAAAAACAAACACUUUUAUCUUUUAUGAGAGGGCAUUGAGAAGUGCUUUUAAGGACCGAAAACUGCUAUAUAUACAUAUAUAUCCUAUUUACAUGGUAUAAAUUUUACAUCCACUCGAAUUAUUAUAAAAGUUUUUAGUAUUGCUACCUGAGGUGAAUUGUCUUUUUUAUCCUCUUUAAUUAAUAGUUGAAAUUUUGGAGGGACAUAUUUAUGACGACAAAAAAAUCAUUUUAUUUAUAAAAUAAAUAAUAUUUUAACGGUAAUAAAUAAGAGUGAUAUAUUUAAAAAUAUUAGGACUUUUGUAGGGACAAGAUAUAAAAGUUGAACUUUGUAGGAAUAUAUUUGUAAUUUAUUAUGUUUGUUGAAACCUGUAUGUAAUUAACCCUUUUUAAUAAUACUAUAAAAAUAAUAUAAAUAAUUUUUCUGAAAUAAAAUGAAUAAGAGUAGGGAUGUCAAUGGGUAUGGAUAUCCGAAAUAUUACCUGAACCCGAACCCGAACCAGAACCCGAACCCGAACGGGGCGUGUUUACCCGAGCUAAACGGGUAUGGAUUCGGUUAUGGGUAUAGAAAAUAAAAACCCGACGGAUAUUGAUGCGGGUAUGGAUUUUGUAUUUACCCAAGCCGAACCCGAACCCGAAUAAAUUAUAAAUAUACAUAAAUUUAUUUUUAUUUAUUUAUAUAAUAUAUAAAAUAUUUAAUAAUUUUUCUCUCUUAGAUUUUUAUUCAACGGUAUAGAUUUUUAAAAUUCGUCGGAUUCGGGUCCGGGUUCAGUUUUCGGAUUUUUGGUCGGGUAUGGAUAUGUGUAUGAAUUUU
rnacentral:lncRNA from 1 species